rnacentral:rRNA from 1 species
UACAGAGGGGGCGAGCGUUGUUCGGAAUUACUGGGCGUAAAGGGCGCGUAGGCGGCCCGCUAAGUCGAACGUGAAAUCCCCAGGCUCAACCUGGGAACUGCGUCCGAUACUGGCAGGCUUGAAUCCGGGAGAGGGAUGUGGAAUUCCCGGUGUAGCAGUGAAAUGCGUAGAUAUCGGGAGGAACAUCUGUGGCGAAGGCGACACCCUGGACCAGCACUGACACUGAGGCACGAAAGCGUGGGGAGCAAACAGG